ensembl:snoRNA
GGGGUGUGCUCAGGGCAGGGGCCCUGAAGAAAUGGCUCCUCUGUUUACAACACACCCAGCAAGAAUCUGGGUUAAUUGUGACAAAGGGCACAGAAGUUGUGGCCUUCUUAUGAGCAGAUACUCUACAUGU